rnacentral:rRNA from 1 species
UGGGGAAUAUUGGACAAUGGAGGGAACUCUGAUCCAGCAAUUCUGUGUGUGUGAAGAAGGUUUUAGGACUGUAAAACACUUUUAGUAGGGAAGAAAAAAAUGACGGUACCUACAGAAGAAGCAACGGCUAAAUACGUGCCAGCAGCCGCGGUAAUACGUAUGUUGAGAGCGUUAUCCGGAAUUAUUGGGCUUAAAGGGCAUCUAGGCGGUAAGACAAGUUGAAGGUGAAAACCUGUGGCUCAACCAUAGGCUUGCCUACAAAACUGUUGAACUAGAGUACUGGAAAGGUGGGUGGAACUACACGAGUAGAGGUGAAAUUCGUAGAUAUGUGUAGGAAUGCCGAUGAUGAAGAUAACUCACUGGACAGAAACUGACGCUGAAGUGCGAAAGCUAGGGGAGCAAACAGG